GUGCCUGUAGCUCAGUUGGAUAGAGUAUUGGCCUCCGAAGCCAAAGGUCGUGGGUUCAAUUCCCGCCAGGCACGCCA
rnacentral:tRNA from 1 species